AUGGACUUUGCCGAAUUCCAACAUGUAGCAAAACAGUGCCUGCAUAUUUGGCAGGAAUCACCACCAGUUCAGAAAGAAGGAGUACAAAUCCUGUCUCAAAAAAGAGAGUUGAAUGGCAGAAAUAAAGGAAAUAAUAGUGCAAACAGCUUUCUCUCUUCUGCGUAUGAGGAAUGCUAGGAGCGUGUGGCCACUGCACAUUUGGGAAAUGGAAUAGAAGAGAUGGUUCAGAGUUGCAAAUGCUGCCCAGGCUGUAAUCAGAAUAAGAGAAGGAUGGGAAUGGUGAACCUGAGAUUUCCAGUUUCAUGUUGCGUCUAGGAGAAUGUUAAAGUGGAAUUGCAAGACAAGAAGCAAGGAAGCCUUGAAAAUAAACAGCCACCCCUCUCUCCUCCGACCCAACACCCUCCACCUCCUCGGGUGGUACAUAAUUUGUUUCCUUUCUGAAAUGAGAACCUACUUUCCUUGGUUGAUGUCUGCUCACAGCAGAAUAUCCUCUCUUUACACUCAUGCAGCUUUUGAGCUGUGGAAGUGGAGAAAAGCAAACCAUACAGGAACAUGUUGUUUGAAACUGGAGCUGUCUGGUUGCUGCUCGUGCUGUUGCAAUUGCUGCCACGCAACGCCACUGAGGGGCCCCUGUUUCAGGGAUGGCAACAAGUAAGGGAGUGGGGUAUAGUGAUGAUUAUGAUGCUGGUUCAUAUAUGCAUACAUGCAGCAAACCCCAAGUUGUUUGUUUUGUGGUUGACUCAAGAUCAAGCAUAUAUUCUACGUCAUUUAGGAAAGAACAGCUUGUGAGAAACGCUCACUGUAGUGCAUGAAAAUGCUUCAUUUUUUCAAACAUCUUUGUUCAAUGUGAAGAACCAGAUUCAUGAAGACCCUAAAUACAGAGCUGUCACUGUUUUUUUUAAGGGCAGAUGUAAGCAGUCACCUACGUUCUUCAUGACCUCCAAAUGCCAGUUAUAUCUCUAGGAAAUCUGAAAGAAAAAUGCCAGGCUUUUUGUUUGAGAUUUCCUGUGAAAAGUGAAAACUGAAGCAAUAGCUUAGUUAAAGCCUCAGUUUAGUUUGGGUUGGUCUGAUCUGAGCUGAUUUCUUUUUUGGAACUAUUCUCUUUGCCAUGGAGAACAUUGUAAAGUAUGUAUUUUUCUUUCCUUGAAAGUACACUUUUAUUGAAAGAGAUUUUUUUGUCUUUUAAAUGAAAAACAUUUUGACCAAGUCAGCUAGGGACAUAAAAGUGCCCAAAUACUAGCGAGUCUAAAUUCCUGACCUCUGAUCUGGAGAAGUUACUGAAUGCAUAAUGUUGAAGAAUAGCAAAAAGGGAAGAAAUGUAAUAAAAGAUAAUAGCAGUGACUUCUACUACCCACAUGCAAUCGAGAAAGAAGUUAUCUAAGGACAUUGUAACACUCACAGAAGCAGCUAAAAAGAAAGCAGGAAGAAAGAGAAAACAAAUUAUGAUUAAAUGGCAAAGUUCAAAAUGCUGCUUGAGGUAAGCAAGAUCCCCUGGAAAAAGGAGAGAGAGAGCAGGAAUGAAGCCAAAAGUAAAGACUGCAAGCUAUGAUAAGGAAAAAGAAGAUGAAAAUUCUGAAGAAUGGCAAUUACUUGGUAAUAAGGGUUAUUUAAAUAUGUGAGAUACCGUAAGCAUGUCCGUCCACAAGAUUUCAAGGAUGUGAGGAAAGCAAUUAAGGGGAACAGGGUUCUUCCAGAGAGUUUUGACAACUCCUUUGACUGCCAGCAGGGUAGAUGGUACAGAGGAAUUCAGUGAAUUUGUGGAAGAGUCAAAUUAAUUUCACAGUGGUCUUGUGCAAGAGUGCACAAAAGCAUUGCCUUGCACAGCAAUGCCAGGCCGUCUGUGUGACCUACCUGCUGUUGUGGCUGGAAACGCUUCUUCCAGAGCUGGUGACAACCUGCAGGAUGAGGACUUGCGUGGAUGGGCUGGAUCUGUGGGAGCUGCCUCUGCUAUUUCCGAAGGUUUUUUCUCAUGCUGUUACAAGCCUCUGGGAGUUCAGCUCCGCUGCUUGUCCUGCCUCUCUGGGGAGCAAAGCAGUCAGGACAGCACUGGCUAAUGAACAGAGCACAACAGCAGGAGGUCUUCCACCCAGGUUUAUUCAUUGUGGCCCCAGGUUUUACUUAGCAAAACUCCUUCACUCACAAAACAAGUUUAAUGCUCUCUCUGAUACAGUGUAUGCCUACUGUACCUUGACUUUCAAUUACAUUAAAUCCUAUUAUAAUCACUUUCUUUAUAACAAAUCCUCUUUAACACCUGAAAAGCUCAGUUCCCAUGGGUGCAGUGCUGUGUUCUUGAAAUAAAAAACAGUGGAAUUCUAAUGGAAAUGCAUUAACUGGGAGAAUACUUUGAAAAUGUGCCUGGCAUGAAAGGCCUUCAGCACGCAGCUUACAUUCAAAUAGCAGUGGAGAAAAAAAAUUCCCAGAGCCAAGCACUUGUACACCAGCUGCCUUAAGAUAGUGUCUGAAUCACUGUGUUAUCACACUAAAACAUCUUGUAUGGAAAAUCAUCACUAUCCAAAGACAGGUCAAGUACAGGUUAUCUAAGUACUAUUAUUAUAGAACUGAAUGUUUUCCAUCAAAACAGGAGCAAGAAUUUGAAGAGAUUUACGGUGAUGGCCAAGAGGCUCAGUGAUAUAGUUGAUAAACCAUGGAGCUUCUUUGCGACUUUUUUAUUUGUUGUUGCUGCUUUAUUUUCUGGCUGUCAGGAAGGCACCAAGAGUAGUAUGCCAUGUUCUGUUAACAAUUCUUUUCAUGGUUCUACACUUCCUGGAAAAAUAAAAGAUUUUGUGCAUGA